GUAACUAUGUCAGAAGUAUAUGAGUUAGUUUUAAGCAUUAAUUAUGGAUUAUUCCUAGUUACU
rnacentral:tRNA from 1 species